GGCCCUACACUGGAACAGUCCGCCGAGGAGGAUGAGGAUGAUGAUGAGGCGCAAUUUAGUGACGACGAGCCAGAAUACAUUUUUGUCCGUCGCCAACCAGUGGAGGAGACACCAG